rnacentral:rRNA from 1 species
UUGAACGCUGGCGGCAGGCCUAACACAUGCAAGUCGAGCGGUAAAGAGAAGCUUGCUUCUCUUGAGAGCGGCGGACGGGUGAGUAAUGCCUAGGAAUCUGCCUGGUGGUGGGGGAUAACGUUCGGAAACGGACGCUAAUACCGCAUACGUCCUACGGGAGAAAGCGGGGGAUCUUCGGACCUCGCGCCAUUAGAUGAGCCUAGGUCGGAUUAGCUAGUUGGUGAGGUAAUGGCUCACCAAGGCGACGAUCCGUAACUGGUCUGAGAGGAUGAUCAGUCACACUGGAACUGAGACACGGUCCAGACUCCUACGGGAGGCAGCAGUGGGGAAUAUUGGACAAUGGGCGAAAGCCUGAUCCAGCCAUGCCGCGUGUGUGAAGAAGGUCUUCGGAUUGUAAAGCACUUUAAGUUGGGAGGAAGGGCAGUAAGCUAAUACCUUGCUGUUUUGACGUUACCGACAGAAUAAGCACCGGCUAACUCUGUG